AGGGGCACUAGCUACGAUAUAUAUAAAAAAAUAAAGUAUGAUUUUUUUUAGAUCAAUCAUUAAUCAAAUUGGAAUAAUGAAAUAAUAAUUGGCUUUUAGGAAUCAAUUUCCUUUAAUUUCGUUGAAAUAAGCGAUUAAACAUAAUUUUUGACUGAUUCACUUGCAAGUGAAAACGUCAUCAUCAUUCUAACCGGUAUUCAUGUGAACUUCACGUUAACCCCUAGCUAGAGAUUGACAACGCAUGCAUUGUACGUGUACUGGUUAUUUAAAGAAAAAGAAUGUAAACAAUGAAAGUGAAACUACGGUAAAUCAUUUGAUUACUAAUUCGAUGCACAUAAAAUCAUUCUUAUAUGGUUAAAAACAAUGAGAAACAUCUAUUUUUAAUCUAUAAAAUAAAAUCAAACAGACCUAUAAAAAUGCAAUUGCACGUGUUGGUUUAAUCUAUUCGUAUCUUUAUUUUUGUUUACAUCGCUUAUAUGGUCAUCUGAGGUCAAAUCGAUAGUUAAUUAGAUGGCGUCUGGACUAAAAUACACACGAAACGAACCUAUAUAUUAUCUACCCCAUGCUCUGUAAACUGUUUAUUUUAGACUUUUGAUAGUUUGGAUAAAUGUUUUACAUUGUUAUAAACCAAAUAUGAGAAUUUGAGUCAAAUCGGUUACAAUGAAUUUGACAGCUAGUGCCCCUUUAACAUGUAAGUUUAGCAAAUAUUCAAAGUCAAUGAACCAUGACUGAAGGUACAUGACUACAAUCUCCAUGGAAAUGAGAU
rnacentral:lncRNA from 1 species